UACGUAGGGUGCGAGCGUUAAUCGGAAUUACUGGGCGUAAAGCGUGCGCAGGCGGCUCUGCAAGCCAGGUGUGAAAUCCCCGGGCUUAACUUGGGAACUGCAUUUGGGACUGCAAGGCUAGAGUACGGCAGAGGGGGGUAGAAUUCCUGGUGUAGCAGUGAAAUGCGUAGAUAUCAGGAGGAAUACCGAUGGCGAAGGCAGCCCCCUGAGUCGAUACUGACGCUCAUGCACGAAAGCGUGGGGAGCAAACAGG
rnacentral:rRNA from 1 species